AAAGAACCCCGGCGAGGGGAGUGAAAAAGAACCUGAAACCGUGUACGUACAAGCAGUGGGAGCACCCUUCGGGGUGUGACUGCGUACCUUUUGUAUAAUGGGUCAGCGACUUAUAUUCUGUAGCAAGGUUAACCGAAUAGGGGAGCCGGAGGGAAACCGAGUCUUAAUUGGGCGUUAAGUUGCAGGGUAUAGACCCGAAACCCGGUGAUCUAGCCAUGGGCAGGUUGAAGGUUGGGUAACACUAACUGGAGGACCGAACCGACUAAUGUUGAAAAAUUAGCGGAUGACCUGUGGCUGGGGGUGAAAGGCCAAUCAAACCGGGAGAUAGCUGGUUCUCCCCGAAAGCUAUUUAGGUAGCGCCUCGUGAAUUCAUCUCCGGGGGUAGAGCACUGUUUCGGCUAGGGGGCCAUCCCGGCUUACCAACCCGAUGCAAACUGCGAAUACCGGAGAAUGUUAUCACGGGAGACACACGGCGGGUGCUAACGUCCGUCGUGAAGAGGGAAACAACCCAGACCGCCAGCUAAGGUCCCAAAGUCAUGGUUAAGUGGGAAACGAUGUGGGAAGGCCCAGACAGCCAGGAUGUUGGCUUAGAAGCAGCCAUCAUUUAAAGAAAGCGUAAUAGCUCACUGGUCGAGUCGGCCUGCGCGGAAGAUGUAACGGGGCUAAACCAUGCACCGAAGCUGCGGCAGCGACACUGUGUGUUGUUGGGUAGGGGAGCGUUCUGUAAGCCUGUGAAGGUGUGUCGUGAGGCAUGCUGGAGGUAUCAGAAGUGCGAAUGCUGACAUAAGUAACGAUAAAGCGGGUGAAAAGCCCGCUCGCCGGAAGACCAAGGGUUCCUGUCCAACGUUAAUCGGGGCAGGGUGAGUCGACCCCUAAGGCGAGGCCGAAAGGCGUAGUCGAUGGGAAACGGGUUAAUAUUCCCGUACUUGGUGUUACUGCGAAGGGGGGACGGAGAAGGCUAUGUUGGCCGGGCGACGGUUGUCCCGGUUUAAGCGUGUAGGUGUGUGUUCCAGGUAAAUCCGGUUCACUUUAACACUGAGGCGUGACGACGAGGCACUACGGUGCUGAAGCAACAAAUGCCCUGCUUCCAGGAAAAGCCUCUAAGCAUCAGGUAACAUCAAAUCGUACCCCAAACCGACACAGGUGGUCAGGUAGAGAAUACCAAGGCGCUUGAGAGAACUCGGGUGAAGGAACUAGGCAAAAUGGUGCCGUAACUUCGGGAGAAGGCACGCUGACACGUAGGUGAAGUGAUUUACUCAUGGAGCUGAAGUCAGUCGAAGAUACCAGCUGGCUGCAACUGUUUAUUAAAAACACAGCACUGUGCAAACACGAAAGUGGACGUAUACGGUGUGACGCCUGCCCGGUGCCGGAAGGUUAAUUGAUGGGGUCAGCGCAAGCGAAGCUCCUGAUCGAAGCCCCGGUAAACGGCGGCCGUAACUAUAACGGUCCUAAGGUAGCGAAAUUCCUUGUCGGGUAAGUUCCGACCUGCACGAAUGGCGUAAUGAUGGCCAGGCUGUCUCCACCCGAGACUCAGUGAAAUUGAACUCGCUGUGAAGAUGCAGUGUACCCGCGGCAAGACGGAAAGACCCCGUGAACCUUUACUAUAGCUUGACACUGAACAUUGAGCCUUGAUGUGUAGGAUAGGUGGGAGGCUUUGAAGCGUGGACGCCAGUCUGCGUGGAGCCGACCUUGAAAUACCACCCUUUAAUGUUUGAUGUUCUAACGUGGACCCGUAAUCCGGGUUGCGGACAGUGUCUGGUGGGUAGUUUGACUGGGGCGGUCUCCUCCUAAAGAGUAACGGAGGAGCACGAAGGUUGGCUAAUCCUGGUCGGACAUCAGGAGGUUAGUGCAAUGGCAUAAGCCAGCUUGACUGCGAGCGUGACGGCGCGAGCAGGUGCGAAAGCAGGUCAUAGUGAUCCGGUGGUUCUGAAUGGAAGGGCCAUCGCUCAACGGAUAAAAGGUACUCCGGGGAUAACAGGCUGAUACCGCCCAAGAGUUCAUAUCGACGGCGGUGUUUGGCACCUCGAUGUCGGCUCAUCACAUCCUGGGGCUGAAGUAGGUCCCAAGGGUAUGGCUGUUCGCCAUUUAAAGUGGUACGCGAGCUGGGUUUAGAACGUCGUGAGACAGUUCGGUCCCUAUCUGCCGUGGGCGCUGGAGAACUGAGGGGGGCUGCUCCUAGUACGAGAGGACCGGAGUGGACGCAUCACUGGUGUUCGGGUUGUCAUGCCAAUGGCACUGCCCGGUAGCUAAAUGCGGAAGAGAUAAG
rnacentral:rRNA from 1 species